rnacentral:rRNA from 1 species
UACGGAGGAUGCGAGCGUUAUCCGGAUUUAUUGGGUUUAAAGGGUGCGCAGGCGGCGCGUCAAGUCAGCGGUCAAAUCUCCGGGCUCAACCCGGUGCCGCCGUUGAGACUGCCGCGCUUGAGUACGGGCGAGGACGGCGGAAUGCGUGGUGUAGCGGUGAAAUGCAUAGAUAUCACGCAGAACCCCGAUUGCGAAGGCAGCUGUCCAGUCCGGCACUGACGCUGAGGCACGAAAGCGUGGGUAUCGAACA